CUUGUGUCAAGUUUGGACACCUGAAGAAAGAAUGUGGAAGACGAAUCUCGUCAGCUCAAAGGAAACAGAACUCUUUGUGCAUCAGUGACUGCAGUGGCAUGUGUUAGCACAGCAUUUCAAUGACAUCAGGAUUUUGAGGCAACCGAUACAUCUAGACCAAGAAAAAUGAGUCUGCAGUAUUAUCAGCCACUGCAUUUUGUGAAGAAGCAAGAACAACUGAAUAAUAUAGAAGCAGGUAAAAGCAGCUCCUGCUGGCUCGCACGAAUGGAGAGGCCUCUCUGACUUCUGGUGAC